rnacentral:rRNA from 1 species
AAUAGAUACCCAGGUAGUCCACGCCGUAAACGAUGAGUGCUAAGUGUUAGGGGGUUUCCGCCCCUUAGUGCUGCAGCUAACGCAUUAAGCACUCCGCCUGGGGAGUACGGUCGCAAGACUGAAACUCAAAGGAAUUGACGGGGGCCCGCACAAGCGGUGGAGCAUGUGGUUUAAUUCGAAGCAACGCGAAGAACCUUACCAGGUCUUGACAUCCCAUUGACCACUAUGGAGACAUAGUUUUCCCUUCGGGGACAACGGUGACAGGUGGUGCAUGGUUGUCGUCAGCUCGUGUCGUGAGAUGUUGGGUUAAGUCCCGCAACGAGCGCAACCCUUGUUCUUAGUUGCCAUCAUUUAGUUGGGCACUCUAAGGAGACUGCCGGUGACAAACCGGAGGAAGGUGGGGAUGACGUCAAAUCAUCAUGCCCCUUAUGACCUGGGCUACACACGUGCUACAAUGGACGGUACAAACGGUUGCCAACCCGCGAGGGGGAGCUAAUCCGAUAAAACCAUUCUCAGUUCGGAUUGUAGGCUGCAACUCGCCUAC